GAUCAUGGCUCAGAACGAACGCUGGUGGCGUGUCUUAUACAUGCAAGUCGAGCGAGGCAGCAAUGCCGAGCGGCGAACGGGUGAGUAACGCGUAAGCAAUCUGCCCCAUAUCAGGAAAUACCCGUGCCAACGCGCGGUUAAUGUCCAGGAGAGUGGCCUUCCGCAUGGAGGGUUGACUAGAGAUUUAUCGGUAUGGGGUGAGCUUGCGUCCGAUUAGCUAGUUGGCGGGGCAACGGCCCACCAAGGCGACGAUCGGUAGCCGGCCUGAGAGGGUGAUCGGCCACAUUGGGACUGAGAUACGGCCCAGACUCCUACGGGAGGCAGCAGUAGGGAAUAUUGCACAAUGGGGGAAACCCUGAUGCAGCAACGCCACGUGUUGGGAAGAAGCAUUUCGGUGUGUAAACCACUGUCAUGAGGGAAUAAGGCCCGCCUUCCGGACGGACCUUGAAUGUACCUUGAGAGGAAGCACCGGCAAACUUCGUGCCAGCAGCAGC
rnacentral:rRNA from 1 species